AUAAAAGAGACGUUGCCCUUCGGGGUAUACCUCCCACCCUUUGUUUAUUUAUACCUUUGUUGCUUUGGCAGACCCGGCUUCGGCCCACCGGCUCCGGCUGGUCAGUGUCUGCCAGAGGACCUAAAACUCUGUUUGUUAAUAUUGUCUGAGUACUAUAUAAUAGUUAAAACUUUCAACAACGGAUCUCUUGGUUCUGGCAUCGAUGAAGAACGCAGCGAAAUGCGAUAAGUAAUGUGAAUUGCAGAAUUCAGUGAAUCAUCGAAUCUUUGAACGCACAUUGCGCCCUCUGGUAUUCCGGGGGGCAUGCCUGUUCGAGCGUCAUUACAACCCUCAAGCUUUGCUUGGUAUUGGACAUUGCCAGUUUCUGGGCAGGGUCUUUAAAAAUUCAGUGGGCGGGUUGCCCAUUUUGGGCUUUCCAGGCGUAAUUUAAUUCCUUUCUCCGGCCUUUUGGGAAGAUCCCAAGGUGGGUUACUUUGGCCAAUAAACCCCCCAAUUUU
rnacentral:rRNA from 1 species